GUUGGCUAAAAGGAAGACCAUGGUUAGCCAUCGAAUGGUUAACUGUAUGGACGAAAGAGAUAUGGACAUAUGUCCAUUUUUGUGCGUUUUUCUUUCUUUUUUAGUCUUCCAUGGACGAAGCAAGCACUCUUUAACGAACUCACGAGCAUCGAGAUCGCGAGUCAAGAUCGAGAACAAUGCGAAGAAUGCUUCCUUGGAUCGCAAGGAUAGUUAAAUUGGAAAUUCUAGAAGUGGAAGAAAGAGAAAGAGGAUAGCUUUUUGACAAGACUCUAUGCAGAUCGUGCAUAAGUAAGUAAACUUUUAUUUUUUCUUUAUUUCCUAAUUGAUUUGGUGGGUUUUUUUUUUCGUUCUUUUUUUACAUUGUAGUGGAUAUCAUGCAUGGAGGAAACUAGAUUUUGAAGAAUCUGUGGUAGGAGACCAACACAUUGCGUACAGUGUUCUGUUCCAAUUAUUUGCUUUUGUAAAAGGAUUAUUUUUAUUUUUAUAGAUAGAGAUAAAGAUUAAGACGUUUGUUUCUGUAGAUACUCGAUAAUUAAACAAAAUUUUAGAAUAAAUGUUAUUAAUCUUCUUUCAUUGAUGCUCAUAUUUUCUGAAGUUAAAUUAAAUGCUAGUUAUUGUUUACACAAUGAUAGUAAUUAUAUCGAUAAAUUGUAUUAAUAAAUAUUAUUGGAGAAUGCAAGAAUAUAUCUUGUACCGGUAAGAAAUACUUCUACUAUUCAUACAAGUGUAACUAAUAUUCUUAAAAGAUGAAAAGCACUUAUGAUUCUAAUAAGAAAAAUAUGAUACCUUGUAAUAUUUUUUUUGCAAAUUAACGAGUAUCUAUACAUCAAUUGUUCAUAUCACAUGAAUACAGUCAGAUUUUUUACAAACCAAUAUUCGCAUACCUUAUUCUUACAGUACUUAAUCAGCUCAAGAUUUUAUAACAAAUAUUUUCAUAAAUAGUAUACAUUGUUAAUAUGGCGUUAUUAAAAUAUGUGCUCCUUCAUGUUUGCUUGUUUCAUUUUAACAAACAAUGUUAAAUAUGAAUAUUCAUACCUACAAAAAUAAUUUUUUUAUUGAUACAUUUAAAUAAAACAUAUUAGCAGUAGAUUAGACAUUUUUUUAGAUAUGAUUGUUCACAAAUUGAUUUAAAUAAAAACUAUUCGUUCAGAAAUGGAGGAAUAAUGAGACUGAAAUGAUAACAUAAAAUGAACUAUAAACUAUAUGAAGCCAACUUUUCACAAUCUACUUUUACUGAUCAAUAAUUCCUCUGCUCUUCUGUUUGCAUUUUGACAUGCAAAAUGCUUUCAUUGCAACAUACUGAAGCUGCAUUACAAUGGACUGAAACUAUCUUAAAUUUUCACAGGCACUUAGCAAGUACAUUUCACGAUUCCUUUGCAGGAAUGUCUGUUGCAAAAUAUAAGCUGUAUUAUUCAGAUUCAAUUAUCUGAAAUGUAGCAAGCAAAUAGCAUUUAAUAAAACAAAAUAGAAAAGCAGCACAUUUCUUAGGUGUACGCAAUGUGUUGUGAUAUGUCUGUCUGUAAAUUUAUAAAGAUAAUACAGCUCUUUUAUAAUAAAUUUGUAACAUAAUUUAAGUACUAUCUAAUUAUAUAACUAAUGUACCUCUUAAUUAUGUUUCUUUGCUAGAAAUAAUUAUUAUACAAAUUUCUAAUUACAUAAUGUAAAUAAAAAAUAAUUAUAUAAUAUUUACAUUCUUUGCUAGAAAUAAUUGUUAUACAGAUUUCUAAUUACAUAAUGUAAAUAAAAAAUAAUUAUAUAAUAUUUACAUUCUUUGCUAGAAAUAAUUAUUAUACAAAUUUCUAAUUACAUAAUGUAAAUAAAAAAUAAUUACAUAAUAUUUAUAUUCUUUCGAAUAUGAAAUAUGAUAUUCUUAAAUCUAAUCUCUCUAUAGUUUGCUUAUUGCUGUUUACCAAAUGCUCUAUUUUUAGUGAACUAGAAUUUCCAAUAAUACACAUCAAUUUCAUACCUGUUAGAAAUAAUUUACAAUUGUCAAAUUUAAGCUAUUAAUAAGAUUGUUAGUAACAAAGUGGUAGAUGAUUAUGGCAUGGCUUCUGUACUAUGUAAGAUAGUAGCCAUUAACCUUGCCACUAAUUUCAUCCACUUUGCAAGCUUACGAGGGUAAUAUUACGUUAGAAUAACUUAACGGGUUCAGUGCGUUCAAGUGCUAUUAUCAAACACAAAUUCGGGACAAUUUCAUGCGCAAAUUAAGUUCUAAAGCACACACAGUCCCAGGAGUUUCGAUUAACGUAAAUGUUACAUUCACAAUUAGGAUCGGGAAAGCAUGGUCGUUUGCUGGCAGAAUCAUGUUAACGACCAGGUGUCCUAAUCACACAAAACAUUUUAUUGCCAGAAAUGAUUAGACUCGUAAAUAUAGCAGAAGUCCAGGAAAUGAAAUAACUCGAUCGGAAAUCGAACAGAACUGUCAAAACUAUAAGAGAUAAUACCAAAAGCAUUGACAUGAAAGAACGAUGGUUACGGAUAGCACGACUGAUCAUGCAAAGUGUUACUACACUUGAAAGGAACAUCCAAUAAUGCUUUCGCGUUACCAUUUUUAUUAUUUUAAUUAAAGUCGCUUUUCCUGAAAAGCUUGUUUGAAUUGUAUCAUUUUUGAAAUACAUAUGCAAUAUUACCAAGGUACAUAAUAUAUAUAAGUACGUAAAUAUAUCUGAGUAAAUAAUAAUAAUAAUAAACUAAUAAACGAGAUAUACAAAGAAAUAAAUGAUAAUGAUAGCAAAUGACAUAUUUGCUAACGUUUCAUUUCUAUAAUUGAGCUAUUUUGGCUGUCCUGACGUUUUAAUUUUUGCGUUAGUCUUUUUAAAUUAGAGUAUUGCAUACGAUUGAUAAUAAACAUUUCAAGUGUAGCAGGUAGUAAUGUGGGAUGGCUGAUGUUUACCAGAUUCAGAUUUGGGAGCAAAGAUGAAGGCUCCUCAGCGUAGCUCUCUAGCCUGGCCCGGUCCCUUCGCUGUACCAACAAUGGUUAAUAACAAACCAUAAAGCACUGUCUUUGAGAUACAUGCAGUGUCUAAUCACCAAUUUGAUAUUUUGAAAAGAAAAGGGGCAUGUGUCUCGAUUUUUUCUGUGGAAAAUAUCUUGUUUGCCUUUUCAAUCUUCAAAUAACACUUUGAUAAGAAAGAUUUACUUGUUAUGCUAAUUGUCGUUUGUUAACUUCCCUUGUAAGGAUAGACAUUUGUUAAUAAAAUUUUCAGUUCUUUAAUAUUUCUUGAUUCAUUAAUGAUAUACUACAAUUUUAUAUGGCGUCGUUAAAUAUAGCAAAAUUUCUUGAUAAGAUUAGUAUUUAUUAUAUUAGACUUUGAAAUAUUUUACUCUGGUUAUUUUUUGAAAUGACAUGAAUUAAUGAUUUAUGAUUUAUGCAAACAUAGGAACAAAUGUGAAUCACUUCGCAAAGGUUCAACAUUGGUGAGGUGUAAUGAGCAUUUGAUUCGUGAAUGAGAGAUAGACAUAAUAUGUAUAUAAAUGAGAAUAUUAAAUCACGGGUGUACAUGUGUAGUUAGUAUGAUAUGCAGAGUACCAAAAGUUCUUAAAAACAAGAAUCGAGGAGAAGCUAUCUGGUUAAGUACUACAUGGGUCAGUGGUAGGAAUAACAUUGUGUUAAUAUCUCCGUAGUUAGCGUGAUACGUUAAUAUUAACAUGAACGAUUUUCACGUAUAAACGGAUGUAUGUACAUACACAUGGCUUUAAAAGGAUAUAUUAGAUAUCUACCAGCAUCGAUGUCUGAUAUGCGCCAAAUAAAAUACAAAUAAAACAUUAUUCGCCUUAGCGUGAAAUAAUAUUUCAAUGGACUCGCAAUACAUAGUAAAAAAUAAUAAAAAAAAAAGAUAA